CAAACUUUUGAUGGCGACCGGCGCACGGGUGAGCAACACGUAUCCAACCUGCCUCAUACUCGGGGAUAGCCUUUCGAAAGAAAGAUUAAUACCCGAUGUUAUAGUCCUACCGCAUGAUGGGAUUAUUAAAGAAUUUCGGUAUGGGAUGGGGAUGCGUUCCAUUAGUUAGUUGGCGGGGUAACGGCCCACCAAGACAACGAUGGAUAGGGGUUCUGAGAGGAAGGUCCCCCACAUUGGAACUGAGACACGGUCCAAACUCCUACGGAAGGCAGCAG
rnacentral:rRNA from 1 species